rnacentral:rRNA from 1 species
UACAGAGGUCCCAAGCGUUGUUCGGAUUCACUGGGCGUAAAGGGUGCGCAGGUGGCCGGGUAAGUCUGAUGUGAAAUCCCGCAGCUUAACUGCGGAAUGGCAUUGGAUACUAUUCGGCUAGAGGGUUGGAGGGGGGACUGGAAUUCUCGGUGUAGCAGUGAAAUGCGUAGAUAUCGAGAGGAACACCAGUGGCGAAGGCGAGUCCCUGGACAACUCCUGACGCUGAGGCACGAAAGCUAGGGGAGCAAACAGG